rnacentral:misc_RNA from 1 species
AUUCUAACAAGGUGGCGCCACAUUCGAACACAUGUCAAAACAUAGCAGACAGUUGUUUGGCGGUGGACAACGGUAGCCAAAAUACUACAUCGACUGUAGAGACGUCAUCACUGUCAUAACAACGGCUACAGAGUGGUAUCCCCCUGGACAAGUACCACAUUUUCUGGAUGUUUUCCACGAAUAAUUACACCUCUAGGAUGUAGCUGUUGGAUUCUCCAACGUCAUGAAUGCCAAAUUCUAAAUGAAGGCCCAAUUUGUGUUUUAUUGGGUUUGAACUCCAAGAUCAAGGCAUUGGUCGCUUGCGAAGGUGACACCAAUUCAUGUGCCAGUGUUUCGGCACUUGUUUAAGUGUGUUGGAAUUUACAACAACAUACCCUGUUCUCAGGAUGUCACGGAAAAUUAGCAACAAUAAUUCCCUCGUCAACUACAGAAACCUCGGCAAGUCAGGGCUGAGAGUCUCCUGUGUCGGUCUAGGGACAUGGGUUACAUUUGGUGGUCAAGUCACUGAUGAGGUGGCUGAAGAAAUCCUGACACUAGCCUACGAGAGUGGAAUCAAUUACUUUGACACUGCUGAGGUCUAUGCUGCUGGAAAUCAUAAGAAGGAUAAUCCCGAUCUACCUAUAUCUGCCUACCAACAGAUGCAGGUAGCCUGCGAGGGGGCAGAAAUUCUACUCGGGAAACUUCUAAAGAAAAAGACAUGGAGACGAUCAAGUUAUGUCAUUUCAACAAAAAUAUAUUGGGGCGGAAAAGCCGAAACAGAAAAAGGUCUUUCAAGAAAACAUAUUUUAGAAGGUCUGCGAGGCUCACUAGACCGUUUACAACUUGAGUAUGUCGACAUUGUUUUUGCCAAUAAACCUGACCCGCAUACACCUAUGGAAGAGGUGGUGCGAGCGUUCACCCAUGUGAUAAACCAGGGCUGGGCCAUGUACUGGGGGUCGUCACGAUGGAGUGCCACAGAAAUCAUGGAAGCCCAUUCAGUUGCGAGACAGUUUAAUCUGAUUCCACCCGUUGCUGAGCAAGCAGAGUACCAUUUGUUUCACCGAGAGAAAGUAGAACUCCACAUGCCAGAGCUUUACCAUAAAAUAGGUAUAGGAACAGUGACGUGGUCCCCACUAGCGGGUGGGGUACUGACAGGGAAGUAUGAUGAUGGUGUUCCUAUAUACUCCAGAGCAGCUCUAAAGGGCUAUGUUUGGUUGAAAGAGAAAAUUUUAUCUGAAGAUGGACGACGACAGCAAGCCAAACUACGAGAGGUGGCUAUUAUAGCCGACAGAAUAGGGUGUUCUUUAUCACAGUUAGCUAUAGCAUGGGGUUUGAAGAAUGACAAUGUGCAUUGUGUGCUCCUCGGAGCUUCCUCAGUCGACCAGCUUUAUGAAAAUAUUCAAGCUAUACAGUAUGUUCCCAAACUUACUGCAGACAUAAUGUGCGAAAUAGACAAAAUGUUAGGAAACCGGCCACAGCAACGUAAAGACCCGUACAGGACAAAGAGCGUACCCUCCAUACAGUUACAAAAUGGGGGAGUCCAUAUCUAACCCAACACAGUAAGGGAUUUCAGGAGAUACAAGCUUCAUAGGUGAUAUCCAUUAGCAGGUCCUGAGUGCCAGGAUGUCUCU